rnacentral:rRNA from 1 species
UACGGAGGGUGCAAGCGUUAAUCGGAAUUACUGGGCGUAAAGCGUGCGCAGGCGGUUUGUUAAGUCCGCUGUGAGAUCCCCCGAGCUCAACUUUGGGAAUUGCAGUGGAUACUGGCAAGCUGGAGUAUGGUAGAGGAAGGUGGAAUUCCCGGUGUAGCAGUGAAAUGCGUAGAGAUCGGGAGGAACACCAGUGGCGAAGGCGGCCUUCUGGACCAAUCUGACGCUCAUGCACGAAGCGUGGGGAGCAACAGG